rnacentral:rRNA from 1 species
UUUCUUUGAACAAACUUGCUUUGGCGGUGGGCCCAGCCUGCCGCCAGAGGUCUAAACUUGCAACCAAUUUUUUAUCAACUUGUCACACCAGAUUAUUACUAAUAGUCAAAACUUUCAACAACGGAUCUCUUGGUUCUCGCAUCGAUGAAGAACGCAGCGAAAUGCGAUACGUAAUAUGAAUUGCAGAUAUUCGUGAAUCAUCGAAUUUUUGAACGCACAUUGCGCCCUCUGGUAUUCCGGAGGGCAUGCCUGUUUGAGCGUCGUUUCUCCCUCAAACCGCUGGGUUUGGUGUUGAGCAAUACGACUUGGGUUUGCUUGAAAGACGGUAGUGGUAAGGCGGGAUCGCUUUGACAAUGGCUUANGUCUAACCAAAAACAUUGCUUGCGGCGGUAACGUCUACCACGUAUAUCUUCAAACUUUGACCUCAAAUCAGGUAGGACUACC